rnacentral:rRNA from 1 species
GAUUGAUGGUGCUUGCACCUGAUUGAUUUCCGUUGCCAACGAGUGGCGGACGGGUGAGUAACACGUAGGUAACCUGCCCAGAAGCGGGGGACAACAUUUGGAAACAGAUGCUAAUACCGCAUAACAGCGUUGUUCGCAUGAACAACGCUUAAAAGAUGGCUUCUCGCUAUCACUUCUGGAUGGACCUGCGGUGCAUUAGCUUGUUGGUGGGGUAACGGCCUACCAAGGCGAUGAUGCAUAGCCGAGUUGAGAGACUGAUCGGCCACAAUGGGACUGAGACACGGCCCAUACUCCUACGGGAGGCAGCAGUAGGGAAUCUUCCACAAUGGGCGCAAGCCUGAUGGAGCAACACCGCGUGAGUGAAGAAGGGUUUCGGCUCGUAAAGCUCUGUUGUUAAAGAAGAACACGUAUGAGAGUAACUGUUCAUACGUUGACGGUAUUUAACCAGAAAGUCACGGCUAACUACGUGCCAGCAGCCGCGGUAAUACGUAGGUGGCAAGCGUUAUCCGGAUUUAUUGGGCGUAAAGAGAGUGCAGGCGGCUUUCUAAGUCUGAUGUGAAAGCCUUCGGCUUAACCGGAGAAGUGCAUCGGAAACUGGAUAACUUGAGUGCAGAAGAGGGUAGUGGAACUCCAUGUG